CACAAGCGGUGGAGUGAUGUGGUUUAAUUCGAUGCAACGCGAAAAACCUUACCACCUUUGACAUGGCAGGAAUCCCGAAGAGAUUUGGGAGUGCUCGAAAGAGAACCUGCACACAGGUGCUGCAUGGCUGUCGUCAGCUCGUGUCGUGAGAUGUUGGGUUAAGUCCCGCAACGAGCGCAACCCUUGCCAUUAGUUGCUACGAAAGGGCACUCUAAAUGGGACUGCCGGUGACAAACCGGAGGAAGGUGGGGAUGACGUCAAGUCCUCAUGGCCCUUAUAGGUGGGGCUACACACGUCAUACAAUGGCCGGUACAGAGGGUAGCCAACCCGCGAGGGGGAGCCAAUCCCACAAAGCCGGUCGUAGUCCGGAUCGCAGUCUGCAACUCGACUGCGUGAAGUCGGAAUCGCUAGUAAUCGCGGAUCAGCAUGUCGCGGUGAAUACGUUCCCGGGUCUU
rnacentral:rRNA from 1 species